rnacentral:misc_RNA from 1 species
UCUUCAGAUGAUGAUCCCAAGCCUUCUGGCGAUCUUUAAAAUGCGCUUUUGUUUUGGCUUUAAGGAAAGAUGUUUCCGUUUUAUAAGAUUAUGCCGGGGAAGGUUUUCCGGUUUGUCCCGGAGGGCUUGUAGCUCAGUUGGUUAGAGCGCGCGCUUGAUAAGCGUGAGGUUGGAGGUUCAAGUCCUCCCAGGCCCACCAAUUUGAUUUAAGCGCUUAUAAAGUGCUUAUAAUGAGGUGCACAGAAGAGGUAUAGAAUAUAUAGGAUAUGUGCAGCUUAUCUAUUGCGCUAAAAAGAUUUUAACUCAGUUUUUAAUUAUGGGUUUUGAUCCUUUAUCCUAUUUUAGGGGCCGUAGCUCAGCUGGGAGAGCACCUGCUUUGCAAGCAGGGG